rnacentral:pre_miRNA from 1 species
UCUUAUGGCUAAGCAAAGCAAGUAGUUUCUUAAGAUGAAAUCUACUCCUGCUGAAGAUGCUGUGAA